rnacentral:rRNA from 1 species
UGAGGAAUAUUGGUCAAUGGACGAGAGUCUGAACCAGCCAAGUAGCGUGAAGGAUGACUGCCCUAUGGGUUGUAAACUUCUUUUAUAUGGGAAUAAAGUAUUCCACGUGUGGGAUUUUGUAUGUACCAUAUGAAUAAGGAUCGGCUAACUCCGUGCCAGCAGCCGCGGUAAUACGGAGGAUCCGAGCGUUAUCCGGAUUUAUUGGGUUUAAAGGGAGCGUAGGUGGAUUGUUAAGUCAGUUGUGAAAGUUUGCGGCUCAACCGUAAAAUUGCAGUUGAAACUGGCAGUCUUGAGUACAGUAGAGGUGGGCGGAAUUCGUGGUGUAGCGGUGAAAUGCUUAGAUAUCACGAAGAACUCCGAUUGCGAAGGCAGCUCACUAGACUGCAACUGACACUGAUGCUCGAAAGUGUGGGUAUCAAACAGGAUUAGAUACCCUGGUAGUCCACACAGUAAACGAUGAAUACUCGCUGUUUGCGAUAUACAGUAAGCGGCCAAGCGAAAGCAUUAAGUAUUCCACCUGGGGAGUACGCCGGCAACGGUGAAACUCAAAGGAAUUGACGGGGGCCCGCACAAGCGGAGGAACAUGUGGUUUAAUUCGAUGAUACGCGAGGAACCUUACCCGGGCUUAAAUUGCAUUUGAAUAAUCUGGAAACAGGUUAGCCGCAAGGCAAAUGUGAAGGUGCUGCAUGGUUGUCGUCAGCUCGUGCCGUGAGGUGUCGGCUUAAGUGCCAUAACGAGCGCAACCCUUAUCUUUAGUUACUAACAGGUCAUGCUGAGGACUCUAGAGAGACUGCCGUCGUAAGAUGUGAGGAAGGUGGGGAUGACGUCAAAUCAGCACGGCCCUUACGUCCGGGGCUACACACGUGUUACAAUGGGGGGUACAGAAGGCAGCUACCUGGCGACCGGAUGCCAAUCCCGAAAGCCUCUCUCAGUUCGGACUGGAGUCUGCAACCCGACUCCACGAAGCUGGAUUCGCUAGUAAUCGCGCAUCAGCCACGGCGCGGUGAAUACGUUCCC